UGCUAGUUGCACGAGUUUAGACUCGUAGCAUAUAGCUCAGUAACACGUGGCCAAACUACCCUACAGACCGCGAUAACCUCGGGAAACUGAGGCCAAUAGCGGAUAUCACUCUCAUGCUGGAGUGCCGAGAGUGAGAAACGUUCCGGCGCUGUAGGAUGUGGCUGCGGCCGAUUAGGUAGAUGGUGGGGUAACGGCCCACCAUGCCGAUAAUCGGUACAGGUUGUGAGAGCAAGAGCCUGGAGACGGUAUCUGAGACAAGAUACCGGGCCCUACGGGGCGCAGCAGGCGCGAAACCUUUACACUGCACGACAGUGCGAUAGGGGGACUCCGAGUGUGAGGGCAUAUAGCCCUCGCUUUUCUGAACCGUAAGGUGGUUCAGGAACAAGGACUGGGCAAGACCGGUGCCAGCCGCCGCGGUAAUACCGGCAGUCCGAGUGAUGGCCGAUAUUAUUGGGCCUAAAGCGUCCGUAGCUUGCUGUGUAAGUCCGUUGGGAAAUCGACCAGCUCAACUGGUCGGCGUCCGGUGGAAACUACACAGCUUGGGGCCGACAGACUCAACGGGUACGUCCGGGGUAGGAGUGAAAUCCUGUAAUCCUGGACGGACCACCAAUGGGGAAACCACGUUGAGAGACCGGACCCGACUGUGAGGGACGAAAGCCAGGGUCUCGAACCGGAUUAGAUACCCUGGUAGUCCUGGCUGUAA
rnacentral:rRNA from 1 species